rnacentral:tRNA from 1 species
GCCGGCGUGGCUCAGUGGUAGAGCAGCGGUUUCGUAAACCGCAGGUCGUCGGUUCGAAUCCGACCGCCGGCU